CCUACGGGAGGCAGCAGUAAGGAAUAUUGGGCAAUGGAGGCAACUCUGACCCAGCCAUGCCGCGUGAAGGAUGAAGGCCCUAUGGGUUGUAAACUUCUUUUGUACGGGAAUAAACCUGGUUACGUGUAACCAGUUGAAUGUACCGUAAGAAUAAGCACCGGCUAACUCCGUGCCAGCAGCCGCGGUAAUACGGAGGGUGCAAGCGUUAUCCGGAUUUAUUGGGUUUAAAGGGAGCGUAGGCGGGAUUGUAAGUCAGUGGUGAAAGCCCGUAGCUCAACUACGGAACUGCCAUUGAUACUGCAGACCUAGAGUACACUUGAAGUGGGCGGAAUGUGUCAUGUAGCGGUGAAAUGCUUAGAUAUGACACAGAACACCAAUUGCGAAGGCAGCUCACUAAAUUGUAACUGACGCUGAGGCUCGAUAGCGUGGGGAUCAAACAGGAUUAGAUACCCUGGUAGUCCACGCCGUAAACGAUGAUUACUCGAUGUUGGCGAUACACUGUCAGCGUCUGAGCGAAAGCAUUAAGUAAUCCACCUGGGGAGUACGGUCGCAAGACUGAAACUCAAAGGAAUUAGACGGCUGAGACUACCCGAAGGCACACAGGGGANAGGG
rnacentral:rRNA from 1 species